GCCAGCCAAGGCAAAGGGGUGUGGUAGCUUGAAGAUGGACAGAUCCUGAAUGACGGCAUUACAACCCGAGAGCUCAGUGAUUACUGGGAAAAUCCCUUAUCUCCUGGGGCCUGCUUUCGGGUUCCACUAAAUGGGCUUAAAGUCUUGGAAAUAACAUAGGAAGAGCCCCCAGCGUGGCCCUGGCCUGCGCCCUUCCCACCUGCUCAAGGUGAGCUACUCCAGGAGCAAGGGCGCCCCCUGGAUUGAGGGCCUGCACCUGCAGCCACCCAGGGCAGGACACCCCCUUAGCCACCUCCCUUCAUCUCAGCCAAAGUCUCUGCUGUUUCUUUAUCUUUCUGUUGAACCUUUACUUCCACAGCCAAGGACAUGCUUUGGAACCUCAAAGGCUUUCUGUCUUCCAGAGACCUCUUUUCUACUCCAGAGGGGAAAAAAAUUUUAGAAAUCAUC
rnacentral:lncRNA from 1 species